rnacentral:rRNA from 1 species
GUCGAACGAGCGAGAGGGAGCUUGCUUUCUCGAGCGAGUGGCGAACGGGUGAGUAACGCGUGAGGAACCUGCCUCAAAGAGGGGGACAACAGUUGGAAACGACUGCUAAUACCGCAUAAGCCCACGGGUCGGCAUCGACCAGAGGGAAAAGGAGCAAUCCGCUUUGAGAUGGCCUCGCGUCCGAUUAGCUAGUUGGUGAGGUAACGGCCCACCAAGGCAACGAUCGGUAGCCGGACUGAGAGGUUGAACGGCCACAUUGGGACUGAGACACGGCCCAGACUCCUACGGGAGGCAGCAGUGGGGAAUAUUGCACAAUGGGGGAAACCCUGAUGCAGCGACGCCGCGUGGAGGAAGAAGGUCUUCGGAUUGUAAACUCCUGUUGUUGAGGAAGAUAAUGACGGUACUCAACAAGGAAGUGACGGCUAACUACGUGCCAGCAGCCGCGGUAAAACGUAGGUCACAAGCGUUGUCCGGAAUUACUGGGUGUAAAGGGAGCGCAGGCGGGAAGACAAGUUGGAAGUGAAAUCCAUGGGCUCAACCCAUGAACUGCUUUCAAAACUGUUUUUCUUGAGUAGUGCAGAGGUAGGCGGAAUUCCCGGUGUAGCGGUGGAAUGCGUAGAUAUCGGGAGGAACACCAGUGGCGAAGGCGGCCUACUGGGCACCAACUGACGCUGAGG